AGAAAAGGCAAAUUAAGCUUCUAACUUAAUAUCUGAUCUGUAUAAUCACUUUUCUU
rnacentral:tRNA from 1 species